ensembl:snRNA U2 U2 spliceosomal RNA
AUCGCUUCUCGGCCUUUUGGCUAAGAUCAAGUGUAGUAUCUGUUC